CCUACGGGAGGCAGCAGUGAGGAAUAUUGGGCAAUGGGCGCAAGCCUGAACCAGCCAAGCCGCGUGAGGGAUGACGGUCCUAUGGAUUGUAAACCUCUUUUGUCGGGGAGCAAGGCCCGCCACGUGUGGCGGGAAGGCGAGUACCCGAAGAAAAAGAAUCGUCUAACUCCGUGCCAGCAGCCGCGGUAAUACGGAGGAUGGGAGCGUUAUCCGGAUUUAUUGGGUUUAAAGGGUGCGUAGGCGGAAGGUUAAGUCAGCGGUAAAAUGUCGGGGCUCAACACGGGCCUGCCGUGGAAACUGGUAAUCUUGAGUGAGCGAGAGGUAUGCGGAAUGCGUGGUGUAGCGGUGAAAUGCAUAGAUAUCACGCAGAACUCCGGUUGCGAAGGCAGCAUACCGGCGCUCAACUGACGCUGAGGCACGAAAGCGUGGGGAUCGAACAGGAUUAGAUACCCUAGUAGUC
rnacentral:rRNA from 1 species